rnacentral:lncRNA from 1 species
GUCUUCUCUACCACUGUAGCAGUGACUAAGGUUCUCCAGGGUAGCUCUUUCUCCAAACAGCUGCGCUGGAAGCCAGCCCUAGAGAGUGGGUUUCCCCAUCAUCUCAGGCUUCUCAGAGAGUGUCCUCCGCUGAGCACCCAUCCUGUCAGGUUGGCUCGUUCAGAUGCCCGGGGACAAGCCAGCCUGACGGGGAGGAGGGUGUUUCGGCGUCCGCGGCAGUCUCUGCAUGGCGGAGGGUCAGCGGGUACCGCAACUUGCCUUUUGGUUUUGAAGAUUCUGUUGAGGCGCCAUCCUCACCUUGACCUCUUCUACAAAAUCUGUCUCCCCUGCUGUGCCGUGGAACACCUACGGGAAGCCAGUAAGUUAAAGUCCUAAGAUCAAAGCCCCUCCCUCUACUGCCUGCAUCUCCUGUCAUAAAAGCCUGAAUUGUAUGGUUAUUCUUACACCCUGUGGGGAUGGGGGAUGCUUUAUACGGACAUGGCACAUUAUCCUCAAAGGGCCCUGGAUGCACCCAUAAGUUUGUGUCCCGUGCUUGCCCCCUUUGGUGAAAUUCUUGGCUGUCGGUGUCAUUUUAAGGAAAUCAGGGGAAAUUACCCAGAAGAUCAGGGUCUGUAGGAGAAGAGGGGUAGGGGAUGCAUCAGUGACCCAAACUUGCUGGUGAGAUUUGGCAGCUGAAGCCAUUUAAAGAGAUUGGCGGUUGGGCGUGGUGACUCAUGCCUGUAAUCCAGCACUUUGGGAGGUGAGUAGAUCACCUGAGGUCAGGAGUUCGAGACCAGCCUGGCCAACAUGGCGAAACCCCCAUCUCUACUAAAAAUAUAAAAAUUAGCCUGGUGUGGUGGCAGGUGCCUGUAAUCCCAGCUACUCAGGGGACUGAGGCAGAAGAAUCACCUGAACCUGGGAGGCGAAGGUUUCAGUGAGCUGAGAUCACGCCACUGCACUCCACCCUGGGCAACAAGAGUGAAAUUCCAUCUCAAAAAAAAAAAAAGAUUGGCACCUUGGUGUUGCCAGUUUCUGAAGAGGGGAGAGGAGGGUUAUGUUACAAGCAUCACCAACAAAGAGCAUUGUGACUCAGCAGAGGGGAGAGCAGUAGUAAAGACUUUGGGGAUGAUGCUGGACUGCCUCCCCAGCCACCCACCUUCCUUGCACACGCUUCUUGUGGCAGCAUCAUGAGUUUGCAGGUCCAGAUGUUGCUUGCAUUGUAACCACAGCUCCCUGUGCCCCCCAGUGCCUGCUGUAUUUGGGUUAGAUAUUUUCUUAUAAAUAAAUGAUUUAAUCUUUUCAGGGUGAGGGGCGAGCCCUGGGGACCUGGAAGGUGUUCACUCCAGCACCACUAGUUCAGAAAAAGGGUCUGUCCCAUAAGGCCCCCAGGCUGCUCGUAUUGACAGGUGCGAGCCGGCGCUUCCCUCCAGCCCGGUGGUGCCACAGUUGCUUGUGGUUUUUAUUUAUCAGAGAAUUCAAGAACACCUGAUGUGGACUCAGUGUACACAGCAUACCACUUGCGAAAACCGAGUUUGUUUUCCAUUAUUUUCGAGAACUAAAUAGACGUGACUCUUCCGGGCGGUUGUCAUGAGCCACUCCCUGCCUUGCUACCUGAGUCUUCUUGGGUCCAACAAGUACCUGGGUGUGACUCUCCUUGUAAAGUGCCUCAAAAUUUGCUGUUAUUUCUUGUUAGGCUUAGUUAGUUGGUUUAUUAGCAAGCUCAUUUUCCCUGGGAUGGGUUUUUUGAUGAGCUGAGUUGAUGUGGAUGGGAACACAAGGCGCUCUUGUGUGUCUGUUGGCAUCCAGGUGGCCCACAGUGUCUAGUAUAAAUGUCUCCAUGGCUGAUCUGGCCUGGGGUGCUGUGAACAGGCUUCCUGCUGUGAGCAGGUAAGAGUGUUGUGAAUGAAUUAUCCCCAGAGUCUGCAAGACAACCGGCCAGGUGGUGCUGAGUGUGGCAGGAAGAGGAAUCGGAUGCAGACAGACAGGCAUGUGUUUCCUGGCCUCACUGCUCACUCAUGAACCCUGUGACCUUGGUCCCACUUUUUCCAUCUGCGCUAUAGGAAUGCACCUCUUUGGUUACUGUGAUCAUUAAAUUACGUAAUUUAGCCAAAUACCUGCUGCAGGUGCCUGGCACCACCGGCACCACCAGCACCACCAGGAAUGGUCGCCACUAGCACCACCACCUCCACCAUGAAUAGUUUUUGCGGUCUUCCUGGGUGCCAGGUGCCUUUGCACACACACUUCCUUAUUCAGUCCUUAACAGCAUCCUUUAGGUAGGUAUUAUUCCUGGAACAGACUGAUCAUUUCCAGAGGCCCAGGGCUGUUUCCCCUGGAUCAUAUUUACCUCCCUGGCUCUCCAUAAGAAAACAUCCAUUUGCUUGGCACUUUGUCAUCCUUUGAGUCCUGCCAACAAGGUGGCGAGGUAGGUAUUUGUCUUCAUUUUGUACACACAGGGCUGGGUCUAGGAAGGUCAGUCACGGCACAGGGUCACAUGGUUUCUAAGGGGCAGGUCUCAAACCACCAGUCUCCUGCCCUCUUCAGCACUUUUCCCUGAAAGGAAGACGAGGGGACUUUUCUUCUGAGACCAAAACGGCUCACACUUGGGAUAGCAGAAGAUGUCAUCUCUGGGCCAAAGAGAUAAGGUCAUAUGUUCCAAGAGGCACCCACUCUGGCUGUGGCUCCCUAAAGGGGAAAGAGGUCUGCAGGGCAAAGGGACAUGUCCCCUGGACCCCCAGAUCCUUCCUUUUCUAUAAUUCUCUGCCCAAAUGCCCCUUUGCUAGCUGCCAGGGCCUGCACUGAGUUCAUCUUCCCUGGGGCCACUUGUGUGCCCAUGCCUCGGCUGAGAAUGGCCAGCUGUGGCUGAGACGUGGACAUGGUUGGAGCUCAAACAUGCAGCCCCGGGUGUCCACACUCAUGUGCGAGGCCCCUUGUUACAAUGACCAGGUGGGGAUGGCAAGAGAAGGGGAAUGGGCCGCGGACCAGGGGCCUCCACCGAUAUCCUGGCCUGAGCCCAGCAGGCAUUAGGAGCAGGUCAGCUAACCUGGGACCUGACUGGGGCUGUGUGUUUGAUUUCCAUUUCCAUUUUCAGUUCCGCUCUCAUCACCAAAGAGCCCACUCCUGGUGCCUGUGAUGUUAUGACAGACCGUAAGCCAAACUGGAGUCUGGUUCUGGGGGAUUUUCUACGUCUCCUCUUUUUUCUUAUCAAGAUGUAGAGAUGUGCUUUGAGGUCGCCACUGUUCCAAGAUCACAUUGUUUUUCUUUGUGAUGAUUCUGUUUCCUACAUUGUACGGUUUUGAGGCCGUUUCUUGAUUGGGCCAGCCUUGACGUCAGCUCUCGUUAUGUGAUGCUCUCACUUUCCCUCUUAGUCCCCUCAAGGUCUUGGUCAACGUCAGUGUACUUUUCUCUCUUUCCUUUAGUUGGAAUCACCAUCCAUGGAAAAUACUUCCUGGAAACGUUUUGGAAUAGAAAGGGAAGAAGAAAUAGAAACAGGUUUUCAGAGAUCCACAAGGUGUGAUGCUGGGCCCUGCUGGACUGCAAAGGUGGACGAGACAGGCCCACUCCUGACUCAUAAAGGAGGGAGAUGAGGUUUGUGCACAGAGCACAGGGUGGCCGCCAUCUGCUUUACUGAGGCAUCCCAGCAACCAAGAGCAUCAGCUACUAUUUAUUGAGCUUUUAAUAUGUUCCUGGCAUUGCGCUGAGAACUUCACAUGCUUUGUAAAGACACUCAUUUGCAUGGUAAGACCAGCUUGGACUCUGGAGCCAGACUGCCUGGGCUGGAAUCCUGGUUCUAACAUUUCCCACUUGUGUGGCCUUAGGCACAUCUGUUAACCUCUCUGUGAUGCCCUCUCUCUAUCUGUAAAAGAGAAACAACAGCAGUACCUACCUCAUCUGGAUAUUAUGAAUUGGAUGUUUUAAUGUCUUUAAAGCACUGCCAGGCGCAUAGCACUAAUGCAUUAAUGUGCCCAGCAACAGUACAAAGUAGCUUCU